rnacentral:rRNA from 1 species
GACGAACGCUGGCAGCGUGCUUAACACAUGCAAGUCGAACGGAAAGGCCCUGCUUUUGUGGGGUGCUCGAGUGGCGAACGGGUGAGUAACACGUGAGUAACCUGCCCUUGACUUUGGGAUAACUUCAGGAAACUGGGGCUAAUACCGGAUAUGAGCUCCUGCUGCAUGGUGGGGGUUGGAAAGUUUCGGCGGUUGGGGAUGGACUCGCGGCUUAUCAGCUUGUUGGUGGGGUAGUGGCUUACCAAGGCUUUGACGGGUAGCCGGCCUGAGAGGGUGACCGGCCACAGUGGGACUGAGAUACGGCCCAGACUCCUACGGGAGGCAGCAGUGGGGAAUAUUGCACAAUGGGCGGAAGCCUGAUGCAGCAACGCCGCGUGCGGGAUGACGGCCUUCGGGUUGUAAACCGCUUUCGCCUGUGACGAAGCGUGAGUGACGGUAAUGGGUAAAGAAGCACCGGCUAACUACGUG